rnacentral:rRNA from 1 species
CGGGCUUCGGCCUGGCGGCGAGUGGCGAACGGGUGAGUAAUAUAUCGGAACGUACCCAAGAGUGGGGGAUAACGUAGCGAAAGUUACGCUAAUACCGCAUACGAUCUAAGGAUGAAAGCAGGGGAUCGCAAGACCUUGUGCUCCUGGAGCGGCCGAUAUCUGAUUAGCUAGUUGGUGAGGUAAAGGCUCACCAAGGCAACGAUCAGUAGCUGGUCUGAGAGGACGACCAGCCACACUGGAACUGAGACACGGUCCAGA